ensembl:lncRNA
AAGAACAGCAUUAAAUGGGAUUUUUGCAAUAACAACAUCAAUAGCAAAAGCAUCACCAGAAAACAAUCACACUUUUUUUUCUCAAGCUCUCUUCCCAUCUGCUAUUGGCCGGUGAAGCAGACAGCGCUGAACCAAACUCACACCAGCGCUGCUUCGUCUGACAGAGGACGAGGCUCAAAAUUUGACUACCCACAAAGCCCUGCAUUCAGCAGACUCAUUCCUCACUCAGUCCCAUCAUCAGACCUCAUGGCAGGCUUUGAAGAAGAUGUGUGUUUACCUGAAGCUCCUGGCAGGAGAGAUAAGAGGCCUGUUUGGCAGAUGGUACGAGCCAUCAUCAGCGGACACAGCUGCAGCCCAGACCCUAACAAGCCUGGCGUUCGAGCAGGAUGGGCUUCAGGAACUGGUAUGGAGAGGGACUUUAGCAACAAUAUCCAUCGCCCAUCGUUCCCUCCAGCCAUCUGUGCCUGCAUCUGAGCCCGGCUGACAGGCUUCACACUUACAGAGUGUGAAAUUAGCAUGUGUGUGUGUGUGUGUGUGUGUGUGUGUGAGGAGCAAUGGGGGAGCUCCAUUAAAUCAGUCUGGUACGUGUGUGUUCAGGGUUGUGUGAAGGUGUCGUGACUGUGCGAGCGUGUGUUGGGUCUCUGUGGAAGACACAGGUGUUCAGGUUGACUCUCAGUGGCCCGGGAAGCACAAAGCCUGCGUUCGACGGGAAUCCGAUCUGCGACGGUCCUCCCCUGAAUUAUGUUAAUUAACCUUCGGCCCAGAACAUGAUUCUCCGGUAUCAGGGUGAGCUGUUCAUGUCAACAAAUGUCCAUAAUUGACUAUUGAACUUCGCUCAGUGGUUUGUGCAACCCGACCUCUUAACUGUGACCUCUGGUUUUUGACAUCUGCCUUCUGUGGGAAAUUAAUCACGGGUUAUGUUUGGAAUUAAAUGCUAGAGUAAUGCUUAAUGAAUACUGUGGCAUGUACACUGUAUACUGCUUUGUUUUUAAUAAAAGUAUGUAAAUGUAAUGUUACA